rnacentral:rRNA from 1 species
UACGUAGGGUGCAGGCGUUAAUCGGAAUUACUGGGCGUAAAGCGUGCGCAGGCGGUUUGCUAAGACAGGUGUGAAAUCCCCGGGCUUAACCUGGGAACUGCGCUUGUUACUGGCAAGCUAGAGUGUGGCAGAGGGGGGUGGAAUUCCAGGUGUAGCAGUGAAAUGCGUAGAUAUCUGGAGGAAUACCGGUGGCGAAGGCGGCAUCCUGGACCGACAUUGACGCUGAGGAGCGAAAGCUAGGGGAGC